AGAGUCCAGGCGUUUGACCUCGUCAUCAGUCUAAACGUAAUUCACAGAUCAUUCAUCCUAUAGAAUUGCGCAUAUCCUUGAAGUUGAACUGAUUGGAGAAAGAGGGUACAUAUUAUCAAGCACAAGACGCAUUCUUAGUUACAAUUAAAGUACUAUGUAGUUUAUAAUUUUUCUAUGUAAAAAGAUUGGAGAAUAUUGUGUUUUUAUUUAGUUGUCAAUGGAACUUUUUAUUUCAAGUACAUUUUAAUGUAAAAAUAUUUGAAAUUAUAUAUUAAUAAUAAUAUUUCGUUAUUCCA